UUAUCGGGCUGUAUUUGCGUCUUUUGGAAGUAUUGUCUUAGUUUCACCAGCAACCGGAAGUUGGAUUGAUAAGUUCGGGUCAAACUUAUCAACGUCGGUUCAAACAUUAUGACGUCGCUGAUAUGUCCGGGUCAAAGUUAUUAAGGCCAGGUCAACGUAUUUGACGUCACAAAGCCGUGAUAAUGGGUUUUAUUAAGAGCUGAGCAGAUUGAUAUAGACUGUUGG
rnacentral:lncRNA from 1 species